AUUCGUGAAUGAAUUUCAGUGAUUAGCUAGGGCAUAGGCAAGGCAAAGGCAUCCAUGUGGUUAAAAAGUAAUGACAGAUUCUGAAUUCACAUCAUUUAAAAAAGUAACAUUGAUUACAGACCUAAAUGUAAGAAAAUAAAACCAUAAAAAGGGAGGGAAUUCAACUCUCAAAACUAAAAACACCUCGUUCAAAAUUGAAGCAAAGUUACAAGCGCUGUAAAUGAUCAAAUUUUGUUAGAUGCUGAAUACAAACAGAUGCAACGUGAUUUUCAGUUGUUAUCAGAAGAGAAGUUGGUGCUGGAAAAUGAACUACAAAAGUUGAAGGACAAAGAGAAAACUAAGCCCACAAAUAAUCGAACAAAGAAAGCUGUGAAAACAGUGAAGAAAAAAGACAAAGGAAAAUCUGAGGAUUCAGAAAAG
rnacentral:sRNA from 1 species